GACGAACGCUGGCGGCGUGCUUAACACAUGCAAGUCGAACGGAAAGGCCCUGCUUUUGUGGGGUGCUCGAGUGGCGAACGGGUGAGUAACACGUGAGUAACCUGCCCUUGACUUUGGGAUAACUUCAGGAAACUGGGGCUAAUACCUGAUAGGAGCUCCUGCUGCAUGGUGGGGGUUGGAAAGUUUCGGCGGUUGGGGAUGGACUCGCGGCUUAUCAGCUUGUUGGUGGGGUAGUGGCUUACCAAGGCUUUGACGGGUAGCCGGCCUGAGAGGGUGACCGGCCACAUUGGGACUGAGAUACGGCCCAGAGUCCUACGGGAGGCAGCAGUGGGGAAUAUUGCACAAUGGGCGGAAGCCUGAUGCAGCAACGCCGCGUGCGGGAUGACGGCCUUCGGGUUGUAAACCGCUUUCGCCUGUGACGAAGCGUGAGUGACGGUAAUGGGUAAAGAAGCACCGGCUAACUACGUG
rnacentral:rRNA from 1 species